rnacentral:lncRNA from 1 species
GUCAGAGGAGAGAUAAGGUCUCCUUAACCCAGAGUUCCUUAUCUUUGGCAAGUGCAGACUUCCAUGACUUCCGUGGACUGAGGCGUCUGGGGUGUGACUUGGCUGUUUCUACCCUCUGGUGGCCUUCCUGGACACACCCGAGUCACCCUAGUCAGCUUCUGGUGCUGCCCACCCACCUGUGCCUACUCCUUCUCUCCCAUCCUUAAGCACAAGAUGAAGGACCCUUGGAUCCAGAGAAGCAGCCAUCACAACAGCAGUGCCAACGUCUCUGCAGGGCUUAAACAAAGCCACAUCCAAGCUCUGGUGUAAAUGUCUUAGAAAGACUUGUAAACCAGAACAGGAAUUCAGAUAAUCUACCAGCUCAGCGUGCUUUCAUGGACUUGUGAAGUUUGGAAAGACGUGUGUAUGACCACAGCCCCAAAGAGCCAAGCAAGGUGAGUGGAGGUUGCUCUGUUUCCAAACACCACGUCUGCACCUAAGAAAAAUGUAAGCUGGUUUAAUUGUCAGGAUCUCAUGUACUCUGAUCCCGCCUACAGUGGAUCCUCUCCCCAGAACUCAGAACCCUAAGCUCUUUCUCCAGAAACUGCUGGGAGGGGCCCCUGGAUAUUCCUUGGGGAUGGAAGGCCAGCAUGGC